UACGGAGGGUGCAAGCGUUAUCCGGAUUCACUGGGUUUAAAGGGUGCGUAGGAGGGCAGGUAAGUCAGUGGUGAAAUCUCCAAGCUUAACUUGGAAGCUGCCGUUGAUACUAUCUGUCUUGAAUACCGUGGAGGUGAGCGGAAUAUGUCAUGUAGCGGUGAAAUGCUUAGAUAUGACAUAGAACACCAAUUGCGAAGGCAGCUCACUACACGAAUAUUGACUCUGAGGCACGAAAGCGUGGGGAUCAAACAGG
rnacentral:rRNA from 1 species